AAGCCAGUGGUGGAGUAAUCAGUGGUUUAUGAGGUCAUGGAGCCCAAGACCGGAUGCAGCAGAAGAAGCAGCGUCGUUGCCGUGCACUAAGAUGGUCAACAGAGUCUGUGAGGCGGAAGAUCCAUAGCAUACAGCGGAUGCGUUGGAUAUGCCAUUCCUCAAUGUGUACCUGGAUUCUCUUUGGGCAUCUAAUUUUUGGGCAGGUGUUAUUCUAGCAGCCCGCUUCGCUUUGGUCUUCAGAUUAAGCAAUUCUCUGCAUUCAAGGGAAAGGUCAAUAGCUGCUCUCCAAAGCCAACGCCGGUCUGUAUUCAUCUGCUGAAUCAGGUUGGCCACGACGAGGAGACGAACACGACCGCGUCGUCCCAUCGACCUCCGGGGCCUUUGAUAUCUCAGGUUAGCUCGAAAUGUUAUGUUUCUUCUUAGGUUAUAAUAUAUUAAUAUUUGCCGAUUCUUCACUAGAUUCCUCGGUUCUUGCAGGGUGUGUGUCAUGUUAUGUUGGGUUUCCUGUGAUUUCGGUGCGGGUAGCUACAUAGCG